rnacentral:rRNA from 1 species
AUUGAACGCUGGCGGCAGGCCUAACACAUGCAAGUCGAGCGAGCGGCGGACGGGUGAGUAAUGUCUGGGAAACUGCCUGAUGGAGGGGGAUAACUCCUGGAAACGGUAGCUAAUACCGCAUACCAUCAGAUGGGCCCAGGUGGGAUUAGCGAGUAGGUGGGGUAACGGCUUGCCUAGGCGACGAUCCCUAGCUGGUCUGAGGGGAUGACCAGCCACAAUGGAACUGAGACACGGUCCAGACUCCUACGGGAGGCAGCAGUGGGGAAUAUUGCACAAUGGGCGCAAGCCUGAUGCAGCCAUGCAGCGUGUGUGAAGAAGGCCUUCGGGUUGUAAAGCACGUUCAGCGGGGAGGCGUUACCCGCAGAAGAAGCACCGGCUAACUCCGUGCCAGCAGCCGCGGUAAUAC